rnacentral:rRNA from 1 species
AUGGGAACGCGAAGAACCUUACCUAGACUUGACAUCUUCUGCAUUAACCGUAAUGGAUGAAAUCCCUUCGGGGACAGAAUGACAGGUGGUGCAUGGUUGUCGUCAGCUCGUGUCGUGAGAUGUUGGGUUAAGUCCCGCAACGAGCGCAACCCCUAUUAUUAGUUGCUAACAUUAAGUUGAGCACUCUAGUGAGACUGCCCGGGUUAACCGGGAGGAAGGUGGGGAUGACGUCAAAUCAUCAUGCCCCUUAUGUCUAGGGCUACACACGUGCUACAAUGGUGGGAACAAAGAGAUGCAAGACCGCGAGGUGGAGCUAAACUCAAAACCCCAUCCCAGUUCGGAUUGUAGGCUGAAACUCGCCUACAUGAAGCUGGAGUUGCUAGUAAUCGCGAAUCAGAAUGUCGCGGUGAAUACGUUCCCGGGUCUUGUACACACCG